rnacentral:rRNA from 1 species
AUGCGCCCGCACGCCACGCUCCGACCGCGGUUGACGUCAAACACGUCGCACACCUCUGUCCCCUCUCCCCUCACGGUCCAUUUACUCACCCCGCACCGCAUUUACUGGCAGAACCCACUCGCAGUUCAGACCAUUGGAGGAGAAGGCGAGGGGAGAAGGCGACGGCGGAGGCAGAAGAAUCGACGGUGUUCGCGGCCGUCGGUGGUGCUCGCCGGAACGGAGGGGCUUCGCCGGAGCUCCUGCGGAUUGAAGGUAAUGCUCGCUGCAACUCUCGCAAUCCCUUCCUGCAUUCCCCCCCUUCCCUCCUUGUUCGAUUCCUCGAUCGAGAUUCGUAGAGAUUCAGGCGAUUCGGCGAUGCGUCGGCGUUCCCGCCGGCGGCGAAGUCGCCUGCUAGCUGUUUUUGGUGGCACUGGGCAGUUUCGUCGCCGCCGCGGCGGCAGCAUCGUCGGUGUGGUUACGCCUGUCCGGAGGCACGUACUAGCCUUGCCUUUGGAUUGGACAGGUAUCUCCCAGUUUGUUUGA